rnacentral:misc_RNA from 1 species
GAACUGCGAUAAGUAAUGUGAAUUGCAGAAUUCAGUGAAUCAUCGAGUCUUUGAACGCACAUUGCGCCCCCUGGCAUUCCGGGGGGCAUGCCUGUCCGAGCGUCAUUGCUGCCCUUCAAGCCCGGCUUGUGUGUUGGGUCGUCGUCCCCUCCGGGGGACGGGCCCGAAAGGCAGCGGCGGCACCGCGUCCGGUCCUCGAGCGUAUGGGGCUUUGUCACCCGCUCGAUAAGGACCGGCCGGGCGCCAGCCGGCGUCUCCAACCUUUUUUUCUCAUGUUGACCUCGGAUCAGGUAGGGAUACCCGCUGAACUUAAGC